ensembl:lncRNA
UUGGCAACUAAACGACAACAAGCACGUGACAUAUGGAAAAUCGUAUAACCUAGGAACUGAUACAAUCAGCAGUCAGCCACCUACUGCUUCUAAGGAGCAGCACUUGAGGCACAGGGUUUGCGGCAAAGUUAAUUAUCACCUAGAUAUGAAGACUGAAGAUGCCAAGACUGUAAACAGAAGUCAGAAAUUAUGGCUCCAGGCCUCCUAUUCUCUGCUGAUUUACUCAGUUGUCAUCUUCCUUUUGCCACCCAUUGCCCUACUUCUUCAAUAAAAUGAGCUCUUGCCUAA